rnacentral:rRNA from 1 species
UACGUAGGGUGCAAGCGUUGUUCGGAAUUACUGGGUGUAAAGGGUUCGUAGGCGGUGUGGCAAGUCGGGAGUGAAAUCUCUGGGCUCAACCCAGAGUCUGCUUCCGAAACUGCUGUGCUUGAGUGUGGGAGAGGCGCGUGGAAUUGCAGGUGUAGCGGUGAAAUGCGUAGAUAUCUGCAGGAACACCCGUGGCGAAAGCGGCGCGCUGGACCACUACUGACGCUGAGGAACGAAAGCUAGGGGAGCAAACGGG